rnacentral:rRNA from 1 species
GACGAACGCUGGCGGCGUGCUUAACACAUGCAAGUCGAACGGAGCGAAUGAAAGCUUGCUUUUAUAAGCUUAGUGGCAAACGGGUGAGUAACACGUAGACAACCUGCCGACAGGAUGGGGACAACAUUCCGAAAGGAAUGCUAAUACCGAAUGAAGUGCAGGGGAGGCAUCUCCCCUGCAUGAAAGAUGGCCUCUGAAUAAGCUAUCACCUGUUGAUGGGUCUGCGUCUGAUUAGCUGGUAGGUGAGGUAACGGCUCACCUAGGCGACGAUCAGUAGCCGGUCUGAGAGGAUGAACGGCCACAUUGGGACUGAGACACGGCCCAGACUCCUACGGGAGGCAGCAGUGGGGAAUCUUCCGCAAUGGGCGCAAGCCUGACGGAGCAACGCCGCGUGAGUGAAGAAGGUCUUCGGAUCGUAAAGCUCUGUUGAUGGGGACGAACGUGCCUAAUGCGAAUAGUUUUAGGUAA